ACGGGCUUGGCAGAAUCAGCGCGGAAAGAAGACCCUGUUGAGCUUGACUCUAGUCCGACUUUGUGAAAUGACUUGAGAGGUGUAGUAUAAGUGGGAGCCGGAAACGGCGAAAGUGAAAUACCACUACUUUUAACGUUAUUUUACUUAUUCCGUGAAUCGGAGGCGGGGCACUGCCCCUCUUUUUGGACCCAUGCUCGCUCUGCGGGCCGAUCC
rnacentral:rRNA from 1 species